rnacentral:rRNA from 1 species
UACGGGGGGAGCAAGCGUUGUUCGGAUUUACUGGGCGUAAAGGGCGCGUAGGCGGCGCAACAAGUCACUUGUGAAAUCUCCGGGCUUAACCCGGAGCGGUCAAGUGAUACUGUCGUGCUAGAGUGCGGAAGGGGCUACUGGAAUUCUCGGUGUAGCGGUGAAAUGCGUAGAUAUCAAGAGGAACACCUGAGGUGAAGACGGGUUGCUGGGCUGACACUGACGCUGAGGCGCGAAAGCCCAGGGGGAGCGAACGGGG